GACGAACGCUGGCGGCGUGCUUAACACAUGCAAGUCGAACGGAAAGGCCCUGCUUUUGUGGGGUGCUCGAGUGGCGAACGGGUGAGUAACACGUGAGUAACCUGCCCUUGACUUUGGGAUAACUUCAGGAAACUGGGGCUAAUACCGGAUAGGAGCUCCUGCUGCAUGGUGGGGGUUGGAAAGUUUCGGCGGUUGGGGAUGGACUCGCGGCUUAUCAGCUUGUUGGUGGGGUAGUGGCUUACCAAGGCUUUGACGGGUAGCCGGCCUGAGAGGGUGACCGGCCACAUGGGGACUGAGAGACGGCGCAGACUCCUACGGGAGGCAGCAGUGGGGAAUAUGGCACAAUGGGCGGAAGCCUGUGGCAGCAACGCCGCGUGCGGGAUGACGGCCUUCGGGUUGUAAACCGCUUUCGCCGGUGACGAAGCGUGAGUGACGGUAAUGGGUAAAGAAGCACCGGCUAACUACGUG
rnacentral:rRNA from 1 species